UUCUUCACUUCCGCCUCUUUUAUCCAAAAUUCAAAUCCUCCACCUCCAAAGUCCAUCCGUCGCCAUCUCUUCUCCACCGUCGCCUGCGCUUGCGCCUCCGCCCUCUAGCCAUGCUCCGGAGUUCAGCCUGACGCUGGCGCCCCUCCACCAAACUCCUCUCUACUCCAGCGGUGCUCCAAAGUCCAGCCCGAUGCUGACGUCGACGUCGACGGCUCUCCAUGCCGGCGCCCUCCACCCGACGACUCGUCGCCCUCCAGCCAUCCAGCAGUCCCUCCUCCCUCAGGCCUCAGCCAUCCACGCCGAAGAAGAUAUUGAAUAAUGAAAGUGAAACGAUUGGAGAUAGCAUUUUAAUUGAAGUUACUUCUCGGGUGGAUGACAAAUGAGAUGAAAAAAAGAGAAAAACUAUGGACAAAAGAUUUGGCCAAAGUUCUUCUAUUGACACUUGAAACUUUGAUCAAGAAAAGAUUGAGAAGGCUUUGCUUUUAUGAUGAUUGUUGAUGAGUUGCCUUUUGAGUUUGUUGAAGGAAAGGGUUUUCAACACUUUGUUUCUAAGUUAUGUCCUCGUUUUAAGAUUCCAUCUAGAAAGGAACUUGACAAGAUAGAGCAUAGUAUUUGAAGCUUUGGAAGAUGAAGAGUAAACACUUAUUAGAUAGUAUUAAAUUUUAUUUUGGUUGACAUUGAUGUUGUGGCUUAAAUAUUUAUAUUUUGUUGGUU